rnacentral:lncRNA from 1 species
GAAAUCUCCCAUAUCACCACAUCCAGACAAUGAGACAUGGCUGCUGCCUGUUGACAAACUCCUCUUCUUUAUACCUCCCGAAUUUCUGUUUUCCUGCAUAUGGUUACGUCCAAUAGGUCAGCGGCAUAGUGGCGCCCCAGAACAGGGACUUCGAGGACGUGAACGAAGGUCUGCUGGAGCAGAGGAACUGAAUUUGACAAGGCAAACGGGGACCCCAGGACGAGUCUGCCGGCAGUGGAUAUAAGGUCGGUGCCCUAAAGAGGUAAUGGGAGCAGUGCUUUAAAGAAGUACUGGGAACGGGAAGUUUUCUGAAUCAGGGUAACAAGGGGAAGAAUUCGUCUAUUAAAGAAAAACAUUAUGUGCAGUUGCUUAAAGUUCUGCUGAGACAAUCUAGAGCUCAGGUUAAUUCGCAGACACUAACCUCCUGCAGAAGCCACAAAAGGUUAUUACACAUAACCCACGGUUUCCACAGGCAGGCACUCUCGAUGUGGAAAAUUGGGAUAGGGCAGGAGAAGGAUUAAAACAGGCUCAUCCAAAAGGUCUUAAAGUUGAUUCUUCUGUUUUCUCCACUUGGAGUUUAGUUCAUACUGUACUUGUGCCAUUAUCUCCUCAU